GUAACGGCGAGUGAACAAGGAAUAGCCCAUCACCGAAUCCUUCCUGACCUUCAGGCAAGGAAUUGUGGUGUAAAGGACAAUUUUUGUUUUAUUAUCGUCGGCCCGAGUUCUCUUGAAUGGGGCUUUACCCACAGCGGGUGUCAGGCCUCUAGCGGUCGAUCGAUUUUGAAACUUUUUUUGUCCCGAGAGUCGGGUUGCUUGAGAUCGCAGCCCUAAGACGGGUGGUAAACUCCAUCCAAGGCUAAAUACCGUCGCGAGACCGAUAGCGAACAAGUACCGUGAGGGAAAGUUGAAAAGAACUUUGAAGAGAGAGUUCAAUAGUACGUGAAACCGUAUAGGGGUAAACGGGUGGAAGCGCUAAAUCGAAUCGAAAAAUUCAAAUCUACAUUUGCUCGUUCUGUGACUUACUAAAUAGUUCACUCUAUUAGUAUUUGCUGUCACGUUCAAUGUUGGUUGCACUUUUUUCUUUUCGAGCGCCUCGACAGAUUGCCACGUACGCGCACUCUAAAGAUAUUAACUAGGUACCGCGACCUGUUUGCGAACUUAUAAGUUUUUAUUUAUGCGUACAUGUCGAUCUUGGACUUUAUUCAAGUAUCAGCGCAAGCGAGAUAAAUGUUUAUAUUUUAGCUUUGUCCUGAAUUAUCCUCCCUAGUGAGUUUAUUCUAACCUUGCUAUCAUAUUUUCAUUUUUUCUCAUGAUACUUUAGUCAGAGGCGAAUGGUCGUACAUCUACCCGACCCGUCUUGAAACACGGACCAAGGAGUCUAACAUGUGCGCAAGUCAUUGGGUUUACUAAACCUAAAGGCGAAAUGAAAGUGAAAGCUACCUCUCGGUAACUUAGGUGUGAUCCAAUUUAUUGGCGCAACACCGUCCGGUCACAUUUGCUUCGCAAUAUGGCCGCGAAAGAGCGUACACGUUGGGACCCGAAAGAUGGUGAACUAUGCCUGAGCAGGAUGAAGCCAGAGGAAACUCUGGUGGAGGUCCGUAGCGGUUCUGACGUGCAAAUCGAUCGUC
rnacentral:rRNA from 1 species